UAUAGAACUAAAAUUCUAAUCAGUUUAAAAUAAAUGUUUUACAUUCAUGUUUUUAGCUUGAGUAAUUUGCAGCUAAAAAGCCAUGUAUUAAGGUAAAGGCUCUUUCUUUCAGCACCAUCAUCACCACCCAGGAAAAAAAAAAGAGAUCUGCUGCAGCUUUUGCCUCUGCUUGGGACUUUACACCAAGGAGCUGCUUCUAUCAAGACUUUAUAUCAAAAAACUACUGCUACUUCUAUUUGGGACUCUAUGCCAAAUAGCUUAGCACAUGAACUUCAACAUUUCAGACUCUUGCAAUAAACAGCUUUACACUCUGGGAUGGCCCUGCUUGAGCAGGGAAGUAGGACCCAAUGACCCAUGGUGGUCCCCUCCAGCCUGACCCAUCCUGAGAUUCUGUGAACGGAGAGGAGAGGAGAGAGCCAAGUGUGAGGAGGAGAAUGGGACUCACCAGAGCAGCUCACUUGGCCCCUCCCAGGUGGGCUGUGAUCCCGGCAGGGAACAACAACCGACCUGCACAGCACAGCUCCGACUGCUGCUGCUCCUGAUUGUCCUCGUCAGCUGCACAGCCUGGGCUCUGUAUUCUGAUCCCAUCCCAUCUGUGCCACACGUGCAGAGAAGCUUC
rnacentral:lncRNA from 12 species